rnacentral:rRNA from 1 species
CGGUGAACACGGAGCUUGCUCUGUGGGAUCAGUGGCGAACGGGUGAGUAACACGUGAGCAACCUGCCCCUGACUCUGGGAUAAGCGCUGGAAACGGCGUCUAAUACUGGAUAUGUGACGUGACCGCAUGGUCUGCGUUUGGAAAGAUUUUUCGGUUGGGGAUGGGCUCGCGGCCUAUCAGCUUGUUGGUGAGGUAAUGGCUCACCAAGGCGUCGACGGGUAGCCGGCCUGAGAGGGUGACCGGCCACACUGGGACUGAGACACGGCCCAGACUCCUACGGGAGGCAGCAGUGGGGAAUAUUGCACAAUGGGCGGAAGCCUGAUGCAGCAACGCCGCGUGAGGGAUGACGGCCUUCGGGUUGUAAACCUCUUUUAGCAGGGAAGAAGCGAAAGUGACGGUACCUGCAGAAAAAGCGCCGGCUAACUACGUGCCAGCAGCCGCGGUAAUACGUAGGGCGCAAGCGUUAUCCGGAAUUAUUGGGCGUAAAGAGCUCGUAGGCGGUUUGUCGCGUCUGCUGUGAAAUCCCGAGGCUCAACCUCGGGCCUGCAGUGGGUACGGGCAGACUAGAGUGCGGUAGGGGAGAUUGGAAUUCCUGGUGUAGCGGUGGAAUGCGCAGAUAUCAGGAGGAACACCGAUGGCGAAGGCAGAUCUCUGGGCCGUAACUGACGCUGAGGAGCGAAAGGGUGGGGAGCAAACAGGCUUAGAUACCCUGGGUAGUCCACCCCGUAAACGUUGGGAACUAGUUGUGGGGUCCAUUCCACGGAUUCCCGUGACGCAGCUAACGCAUUAAGUUCCCCGCCUGGGGAGUACGGCCGCAAGGCUAAAACUCAAAGGAAUUGACGGGGACCCGCACAAGCGGCGGAGCAUGCGGAUUAAUUCGAUGCAACGCGAAGAACCUUACCAAGGCUUGACAUAUACGAGAACGGGCCAGAAAUGGUCAACUCUUUGGACACUCGUAAACAGGUGGUGCAUGGUUGUCGUCAGCUCGUGUCGUGAGAUGUUGGGUUAAGUCCCGCAACGAGCGCAACCCUCGUUCUAUGUUGCCAGCACGUAAUGGUGGGAACUCAUGGGAUACUGCCGGGGUCAACUCGGAGGAAGGUGGGGAUGACGUCAAAUCAUCAUGCCCCUUAUGUCUUGGGCUUCACGCAUGCUACGGGCGGCGGUACAAAGGGCGCAAUCGCGUGAGGUGGAGCGAAUCCCAAAAAGCCGGUC